GAUGAACGCUGGCGGCGUGCCUAAUACAUGCAAGUCGAGCGAACAGACGAGGAGCUUGCUCCUUUGACGUUAGCGGCGGACGGGUGAGUAACACGUGGGUAACCUACCUAUAAGACUGGGAUAACUUCGGGAAACCGGAGCUAAUACCGGAUAAUAUUUCGAACCGCAUGGUUCGAUAGUGAAAGAUGGCUUUGCUAUCACUUAUAGAUGGACCUGCGCCGUAUUAGCUAGUUGGUAAGGUAACGGCUUACCAAGGCAACGAUACGUAGCCGACCUGAGAGGGUGAUCGGCCACACUGGAACUGAGACACGGUCCAGACUCCUACGGGAGGCAGCAGUAGGGAAUCUUCCGCAAUGGGCGAAAGCCUGACGGAGCAACGCCGCGUGAGUGAUGAAGGUCUUCGGAUCGUAAAACCCUGUUAUUAGGGAAGAACAAACGUGUAAGUAACUGUGCACGUCUUGACGGUACCUAAUCAGAAAGCCACGGCUAACUACGUG
rnacentral:rRNA from 1 species